CUUCGCUGGCCAGUCCAACGAAGAAAGUGUUUGGGAAACAACGACUUACUGUCCUAGUACACGUCUCGUUUCCCGCUCCAAA
rfam:Alcaligenes sp. EGD-AK7 Contig2, whole genome shotgun sequence.